UGGAAUAGUUUGAUGGUCAGCUGAAUAGUAGGAGUAAGAAAAGAUGGUAUGACAUAGGAUCUCCAACUGCAUACAAGGAGACUGUGUGCAACUUGGAGAGAUUUUGACAGCUCACGUCAUCCCAAUACCUGUGGUUGACACUUACCUUUCCUAUAAGG
rfam:Cavia porcellus supercont2_48 genomic scaffold, whole genome shotgun sequence.